CUGGUAUAAAUGCACCUUACGGCUGUAUUUACAGACCCCUCACAUCCUGGACAUAAACAGUUCCAACUCUUUCCCCCAAAGGGAAAGCUAUAGAGCACUUCACACCAAAAUAACUAGACACAAGAACAGUUUUUCCCCGAAAGCCAUCACUCCGCUAAACAAAUAAUUCCCCCAACACUGUUCAACUAUUACAAAGUCUGCACUACUAUUACUGUUAAUCUUCUCAUCACUC